rnacentral:tRNA from 1 species
GCCCGAGUGGUGAAACAGGUAGACACAACGGACUUAAAAUCCGUCGCCACAAAAAAUGAUAUGCCGGUUCGACUCCGGCCUCGGGCA